rnacentral:rRNA from 1 species
AUUGAACGCUGGCGGCAUGCCUUACACAUGCAAGUCGAACGGCAGCACGGGUGCUUGCACCUGGUGGCGAGUGGCGAACGGGUGAGUAAUAUAUCGGAACGUACCUUAUUGUGGGGGAUAACGCAGCGAAAGCUGUGCUAAUACCGCAUAAUCCCUAAGGGGGAAAGCGGGGGACCGUAAGGCCUCGCGCAAUUAGAGCGGCCGAUACCUGAUUAGCUAGUUGGUGAGGUAAAGGCUCACCAAGGCAACGAUCAGUAGCUGGUCUGAGAGGACGAUCAGCCACACUGGGACUGAGACACGGCCCAGACUCCUACGGGAGGCAGCAGUGGGGAAUUUUGGACAACGGGGGCAACCCUGAUCCAGCCAUGCCGCGUGAGUGAAGAAGGCCUUCGGGUUGUAAAGCUCUUUCGGCCGGGAAGAAAUCGCACAGGCUAAUACUCUGUGUGGAUGACGGUACCGGCAUAAGAAGCACCGGCUAACUAUGUGCCAGCCGCCGCCGUAA